UAGGGAAUCUUCCACAAUGGACGCAAGUCUGAUGGAGCAACGCCGCGUGAGUGAAGAAGGUUUUCGGAUCGUAAAGCUCUGUUGUUGGUGAAGAAGGAUAGAGGCAGUAACUGGUCUUUAUUUGACGGUAAUCAACCAGAAAGUCACGGCUAACUACGUGCCAGCAGCCGACGUAAUACGUAGGUGGCAAGCGUUGUCCGGAUUUAUUGGGCGUAAAGCGAGCGCAGGCGGAAUGAUAAGUCUGAUGUGAAAGCCCACGGCUCAACCGUGGAACUGCAUCGGAAACUGUCAUUCUUGAGUGCAGAAGAGGAGAGUGGAAUUCCAUGUGUAGCGGUGGAAUGCGUAGAUAUAUGGAAGAACACCAGUGGCGAAGGCGGCUCUCUGGUCUGCAACUGACGCUGAGGCUCGAAAGCAUGGGUAGCGAACAGG
rnacentral:rRNA from 1 species